rnacentral:rRNA from 1 species
UACGGGGGGAGCAAGCGUUGUUCGGAUUUACUGGGCGUAAAGGGCGCGUAGGCGGCCACCGCAAGUCAGUUGUGAAAGCUCUGGGCUUAACCCAGAAAGGUCAGCUGAUACUGCGGGGCUAGAGUGCAGAAGGGGCAACUGGAAUUCUCGGUGUAGCGGUGAAAUGCGUAGAUAUCGAGAGGAACACCUGCGGCGAAGGCGGGUUGCUGGGCUGACACUGACGCUGACAGCGCGAACGCUAGGGGAGCGAACGGG